rnacentral:rRNA from 1 species
AUUGAACGCUGGCGGCAUGCCUUACACAUGCAAGUCGAACGGCAGCACGGGUGCUUGCACCUGGUGGCGAGUGGCGAACGGGUGAGUAAUACAUCGGAACAUGUCCUGUAGUGGGGGAUGGCCCGGCGAAAGCCGGAUUAAUACCGCAUACGAUCUACGGAUGAAAGCGGGGGACCUUCGGGCCUCGCGCUAUAGGGUUGGCCGAUGGCUGAUUAGCUAGUUGGUGGGGUAAAGGCCUACCAAGGCGACGAUCAGUAGCUGGUCUGAGAGGACGACCAGCCACACUGGGACUGAGACACGGCCCAGACUCCUACGGGAGGCAGCAGUGGGGAAUUUUGGACAAUGGGCGAAAGCCUGAUCCAGCAAUGCCGCGUGUGUGAAGAAGGCCUUCGGGUUGUAAAGCACUUUUGUCCGGAAAGAAAUCCUUGGCCCUAAUACGGUCGGGGGAUGACGGUACCGGAAGAAUAAGCACCGGCUAACUACG